UUCGGUAAGCUCUUAUUUGUUGUUUAAGAUACAUCCCUUAUGAAAUGAAGAGAUUUAGUAGCAAAAGUGAUCUCAACUGCAUUCUUCCAGAAGGUGGAGCUCUAAGAACCAAUUGUAGUUCAGUCUCAGUUCAGAUUAAAAACAGAGCAGACAGACUUCUAUUGAGUCACUUAUACUCUAGGAGGAAACUGUAAGUCUUGGAUCUCUAAGUCAUUGUCUUUUAUUUGUGCAGAUGUUGCUCCUGGUAUUCACUAUAGUUUCUCUCCUAAAAGAGAAUGCUGCUGCAGACACGCUAACACCAUUCUUCACAGAGAAGCAUGUUUUGGAAGGAAAAGAUGUUACACUGAUCUGCAACUACACUGGCAGUGUUCGAAAUUUGCAGUGGUACCGUCAGUAUCCCGGAUCCAAACCCGAGAACAUAAUUUUGUUCAUUGAAACCAGCCCCAAAUCAGAGCCCUCUCUCCGUCUGACCGCUGUAGCUGAUAAAGUCAUCAAACAUAUGAAUCUGACAAUCUCUUCUACAGAAGUCAAAGACUCUGCCAUGUACUAUUGUGCCCUGGAGCCCACAGUGACAGGAAACACAACUGCACCCUACAAAAACUGAGUGAGAAAUGACAUUCAAAAUAGAAAUUCAUGAUGCUCAAUUUGAAAAGAGUUUGUAAACAAUAUAAAAUGCUGUAUAGUGUUGCUUUUCUAUGAGAACAACCAGUUUAGCAUAUGCUAGUGCACAUUUUACUUGUUAAUUAUUGGUCAUUUAAGGCCACUUUUAUGAGACAAAACACAAUUUAAUUUACAACACAUUAAUUUAACCAGUACACCGUAUGAACUCACAAGCUGGAAAAACAUUUCUUGAAGCAAAACCUAAAACCAAUCAGGAGGUCCCUGAAAUCCGCUUGCAAAGAAAGCUUCUAAUAAUGGAAAUUAAUUGGUAUUAAAUACAAAAAUGUAUCAAAACAAGUUUAUUUGGACUAAAGGACAAAAUUCUGCAGACGAGACUUUGCUUAACUGACUAUCAUAACUUUGCUAUUUGAUUUCUUUGCACAGUAAACAUAAAUUGUGCAAUCAGUUAGACUGGUAAUACCAGACUCUGCUACUUCACUUUGCUUCGUAGACAGUAGAG